rnacentral:tRNA from 1 species
GGGGGUGUAGUUCAGCGGUAGAACUUCGGCCUUCAAAUCCGCGUGUCAUGGGUUCAAAUCCUGUCACCCCCGCCA